CGAUGCGAAGGGGUUGUUGCCGGGCCUGGGCCCGGGACGCGGGCCGCGGGGACGCGGAAUCGCGUCACCGGGCGUGCUGCCGCCCGGCUUCGGC
rnacentral:tRNA from 1 species